UACGGGGGAUGCGAGCGUUAAUCGGAUUUAUUGGGUGUAAAGGGGGCCUAGGCGGCGAAGUAAGUCAGAGGUGAAAGCUCUCGGCUCACCCGGGAAAAUGCCUUUGAUACUGCUUGGCUCGAGUCCAGACGAGGGAAGCGGAAUUCCGUGUGUAGCGGUGAAAUGCGUAGAUAUACGGAGGAACACCAGUGGCGAAGGCGGCUUCCUGGGCUGGUACUGACGCUGAAGCCCGAAAGCGUGGGGAGCGAACGGG
rnacentral:rRNA from 1 species